UUAAAUAGAACUACACUUGGUAUAACUGACUGGGAAACUCUUGUUUUGAAUUUCUAUAACAAGUAUUAUCCUGAAGAGAGAACAGCCCUACUACGGAGUGCGAUCCAGAAUUUUGCCCAAGAAGCCGACGAAUCUUUAUAUGAGGCUUAUAUUUCCUCCAUUUCUAUUCAGUUGACGCGCGUUCAAUUUAGACAGACAAGUUAACUUAUUAAGGAGAGGAGAGAGAGUGAGAGAGAAUGAUAAAGCAAGUACGGUAGCUAGUAAAUGCAAUAUGUAAAACUUACCCAAAAAGAAAACAUGUCAACUAAAAAAAAACUUCCUAAAAAUGAAUAUGUGUCAACUAAUAAAACGAAGAUAAGUAUCUAUUAUGAUGUAUUGUCCCAUUAUUAUAUAAUACUAGUAUAUGGGAAAUGGAAAAUUAGUGAAAGUGAAAAAAGAGAAGGGAGUAUAUUAGCAAACGAAAUUACAAUUUUGCCAUUACUGUAGAAUGUUUUUGGCGGUUAGAUUGAAUCUAAUCUACGGCUAAGAUGUCUUCUAAUUGGGUUUUUCACUCUCUAAAUUCCAUCCACUCUCUAGAAACCCUAGUUCAUGCUACUUCGUGAAUUAGAAAAUGGAUUCGAAUCAAAUACUACCAACAUCUCCUGAUAUUACUUAUGAAAGAAGGAAAUCAAUCGAUUCACAAAGCACGGAUAAAUCUCCAAUACAAGUCAUUUGUCCAUCAAAUCAGUAAGUAGUGAUUUUAUUAGGGUUUAAUUAUUUGAUUUUUUGUUUAAUUUUUAAAUUAUCAUGUUUGAACACGAAAAUUUGGGCUCAAAUUUGCUCGAAUUUGGGAGGGUUUGGCUCGAAUUUUCUGAGCAUAUACAUUGUUAGUCGAAUUCCAUGGGUUUUUGGUGCCAAAUUUUUUAGGUUUUGGGGUCGCUUUUAGAAAUCAUUUUUAGAUGCUUAUAACCUGUUCGAUAAAAUGCCAAGUUGAAAUUUAACUACAUGUUGCGUAUAUGAUUAUGGAAAUCAAUAUUGUUGUUUUGACUAUCUUUAUUUUGUGGUAUUUGUCAUAUUAUUAUCUGAAUACAAAUUAUUUGAGGUAGUGAUUUGUAUAUAGGCUAUUGAAGCUGCUCUAGGUUAGCGUAGUAGAUCCCCUAAAAAAAACUGUUUUUUCACCAAAUGCCCCUGAGUAAUUUUUUUAUUCACUAAAUACCCAUCAAAAUUUUCAAAAAUACUCCUGAGUUUAAGAAAAAUGUCAUUAAAUGCCCAAAUGACUAACGGAAGUUAACUCCGUUAGUCAUUAAAGCCUAAUUAUGCCACGUGGAAUAAUUUUAUUGGUUGUUUAUAUAAUUAUUUUAAAUUAUAAAAUAAUUAAUUGAUUAUUUAUCAUAAAUAAUAUGCCACGUGGAAGCAUAUUAUUCGUAUUUUUCAAUUAUUUUUUUUAUUUAAAAAAAUCACCUUUUAACCCCCACUAGCCAGCCACCUUAGCGCAGCCACCGCUCCACAACCGCCACCCAGCCAGCAUAUCUUCCGCCGGCGCCUAGACCCCCUCCUCAUCGCUCCAGCGCCGCCCGUCCCCUUAACCCUGCACUACUGCCCGUUAGUUGAACCACCAUACCCGACCUCAUCCCUCCUCUAUAAUUGUAAAAAUCCCUCACUGUCUUUCCACCUUAACCAAACAUCCGACAACCACUUCGGCCGAAACUUAUCCCUUAUCUCGUACAUAUAACACAACCACUCAUUUCCUUCCAAUUGAAACUCAACCAUCACCUUAUUCCACCUUUCUUCAAACUCAGCAGGCUCUACUUUAUCUGGCAACUUUUUCAUUAUAUGCCACAUACAUAACCGAUGUUCAGAUUUUUGAAACACUCUACUACCAGCAAUUUUCAAAGCUGGAUCUUGAUAUGUGAUCAAACAAUUGGGUUCAUUAUUUCCCAUUGCCUUAAAAAAUGUUUUGAAAACCCACUCAAAUGAUUCAAUAUCUCCCUUUGCUAUGAAACCAGCAGCAAAAGUGAUACAACUCUUGUGAUUAUCAACUCCUGUAAAUGGAGUAAAUACCUUGUUAUACCUGUUUAGAACAGUACAUGAACAUCAAAUUUCAUUACAUAUAAAAUAUAGCACUACGUUUUUUGAACAUGUGAAAAAAAAAUUUGAACAUAUGAGUAAAAAGUUAGAACACGUGAUUAAAUAUUUAGAACAUAUGAUUUGAUAUUUAGAACACAUGAUUUCAUAGUUAGUUGUUAAAGCUUAUGAGCAUAUAAAACAAAUUUGGAACAUAAGACUAAAAAUAUAGAACAUUAGAAGCAAUUUUUAGAACAUUCAAAACAUAAAUCAGAACAUAAGAUGUGAGCUCUAGAGAGACAAGAAUCAUCAUCAACUUCAAAAUCAAAGAAAAAAGCACUCCACGUCAACUUUUUCUUUGUGAAAUUGUGUACAAACAUUUUAGCAUCGGAACUUUGAAUGAAUGCUUUUGAAUCUCAUGUGAAAAAUUUUAAAAUCUUGCUUGGAAGCGCCAACAUUUUCAUAGUCUCCACGUAUUUCCUUCAUCAUUCGAAAAGUUUUUACAUGACCAAUAUUCACCUAUUAUAUAUAGGCACAAAAUAGUUUUAUAACAUAUAAAGAAACUUUUGGAACCUAAGUAUCAUUUUAGAUUAAAAGAGUAAAAAUUUAGAAUACAUGAUUAAAUAUUUAGAGCACAUGAUUUAAACUUUAGAACAUAUGAAUAAAAAUUUAUCUACGUAAGUAAUUAUAAGUGAAAUUUAGAAUAAAUAAUUAAAGAUUUAGAACAUGUGAGUAAUAUUUUAGACCAUACGAGUAAAAGUUUAGAACGCUAGAGUAAAAAUUUAUGAUAGAGUAACCUUUGAUCAACAAUCAUUUUUUUGGUGCAAAAUGUUCAUCUUUCUUCCUUCUUUUUGAAAUAGAUUACAACUUGGUGUGUAGAGGGGAUGCGUAUGUCCUUUGUGGCAGUGGUGGACCUAGAAAUUUGACAAUAGGGGGGACAAUUUCGAUAAUUCAACUAACAUCAAACUGUUUUUUUAAAAAAAAAAACGGGUACACAAUACAAAUAAUCCGGGUACAUACUUGUUUAAUACUAAAAAGUUACAAUCCCAAAAUCUAUUGAAUAAUACAAUUCGGUUAUAUAGUACUAAAAUAUCCUCAGAAUCUUCAUUCUUUGAAAUCGAACAAUGAUAUCUUCAUCGGGCGCUUGUAAAAACACUUAUUUCUCAAUGAAAGUAACCAAAAAAUCAUUCAUAAGUUGAUCACCAUACUAUUUCUCAAUUUAUUUUUGAUAUAUGUCAUUGUCGUAAAGACUUUUUCAACACUUGUUGUAGCAAUACACAAAGUUACAAACUAAUUUAUAUAUUAAUUAAAUUCACAAACUACUUGUCUAAUUUCAAAGUUUCAACCUUCCAUUCACCAUAUUCACAAAAUAAUUCACAAAAUCACAAAUUCACAAUUCAAUUCACAAACUAAUAACAAAUAAACUAAAUCACAAAUUAAUUCAAAAAUAUGAUUACAUAAACACAAUUACUCAAUACUCAUAAACUAAUUCUUUAAUUUUUUAUCAUCUAAGAUAAAAAUUUGGAAAUAAUCCCAAAAAAAAAAAAA